rnacentral:lncRNA from 1 species
ACAACACAGAAGUCAAGGUCUGCGAGGCAGCUCUUCUCAGUCUUUUAGGGACGUGCAAUCCGCUGGUUCUACCGUUCCACAGCAUAUGGCUUCCAACUUUGCUUUGGGAUUCGGCAUUCCAAUCAGCCAGAGGUAAGAACACAGAGAGGUAAGCAGGAGAAACGUCGAUGAGCCAGGCCGGGAGGGGUGUGCCUCACUUCCUCUUACAUUCCACUAGGGAGAACACGACAAUAGGUUUCACCCAACUGGGAAGGAAGCUGGGAAAUGUGGCCUAGACACAGAGGCAAAGAGGAGGAGGCGAGGCCUGGGUAGAUUGCUAACAAUCUCCACCAGCUGGCAUCAGGGUGUCUGAGAGGGAGGGGGAGCAUUAAAGUUUCUUUCCUUGCACAAAGAGGGUAGCUAAUCAGAGGAUCCCUCGGGGCCCAGCUACUUGAAUCUCCCAUAAUUCGCAUAAGAUAUUCUAUGCCUCAAAGUGAAUAAGCAGAACAAGCUGCAGUCCACUGUGCCCUCUGCCCAUUGGGCAGUGGAGAAGAGGACCUUGGGUUUUCUCCAAGUUCUGUCCCGAAGUUGUUCCCAGUCCUCAGCCAAGUCGAGUGAUCGUUAUUGACUUCAGUG